GUGGGGAAUCUUGCGCAAUGGGCGAAAGCCUGACGCAGCCAUGCCGCGUGAAUGAUGAAGGUCUUAGGAUUGUAAAAUUCUUUCACCGGGGACGAUAAUGACGGUACCCGGAGAAGAAGCUCCGGCUAACUUCGUGCCAGCAGCCGCGGUAAUACGAAGGGGGCUAGCGUUGCUCGGAAUUACUGGGCGUAAAGGGCGCGUAGGCGGACAGCUUAGUCAGAGGUGAAAGCCCAGGGCUCAACCUUGGAAUUGCCUUUGAUACUGGCUGGCUUGAGUUUGGUAGGAGUGAGUGGAACUCCGGGUGUAGAGGUGAAAUUCGUAGAUAUUCGGAAGAACACCAGUGGCGAAGGCGACUCACUGGCCCAAUACUGACGCUGAGGCGCGAAAGCGUGGGGAGCAAACAGGAUUAGAAACCCCGGUAGUCC
rnacentral:rRNA from 1 species